rnacentral:rRNA from 1 species
GAUGAACGCUGGCGGCGUGCUUAACACAUGCAAGUCGAACGAAACACCUUAUUUGAUUUUCUUCGGAACUGAAGAUUUGGUGAUUGAGUGGCGGACGGGUGAGUAACGCGUGGGUAACCUGCCCUGUACAGGGGGGAUAACAGUUAGAAAUGACUGCUAAUACCGCAUAAGACCACAGCACCGCAUGGUGCAGGGGUAAAAACUCCGGUGGUACAGGAUGGACCCGCGUCUGAUUAGCUGGUUGGUGAGGUAACGGCUCACCAAGGCGACGAUCAGUAGCCGGCUUGAGAUAGUGAACGGCCACAUUGGGACUGAGACACGGCCCAAACUCCUACGGGAGGCAGCAGUGGGGAAUAUUGCACAAUGGGGGAAGCCCUGAUGCAGCGACGCCGCGUGAGUGAAGAAGUAUCUCGGUAUGUAAAGCUCUAUCAGCAGGGAAGAAAAUGACGGUACCUGACUAAGAAGCCCCGGCUAACUACGUGCCAGCCGCCGCUGUAA